AAUGACUCUCGACAACGGAUAUCUCGGCUCUCGCAUCGAUGAAGAACGUAGCGAAAUGCGAUACUUGGUGUGAAUUGCAGAAUCCCGUGAACCAUCGAGUCUUUGAACGCAAGUUGCGCCCGAAGCCAAUAGGCCGAGGGCACGUCUGCCUGGGUGUCAUGC
rnacentral:rRNA from 1 species